rnacentral:rRNA from 1 species
UACAGAGGAUGCAAGCGUUAUCCGGAUUUAUUGGGUUUAAAGGGUCCGUAGGCGGAUCUGUAAGUCAGUGGUGAAAUCUCACAGCUUAACUGUGAAACUGCCAUUGAUACUGCAGGUCUUGAGUGUUAUUGAAGUAGCUGGAAUAAGUAGUGUAGCGGUGAAAUGCAUAGAUAUUACUUAGAACACCAAUUGCGAAGGCAGGUUACUAAGCAACAACUGACGCUGAUGGACGAAAGCGUGGGGAGCGAACAGG